UACGUAGGGACCAAGCGUUGUUCGGAUUUACUGGGCGUAAAGGGCGCGUAGGCGGCGUGGUAAGUCACUUGUGAAAUCUCUGAGCUUAACUCAGAACGGCCAAGUGAUACUGCUGUGCUAGAGUGCAGAAGGGGCAAUCGGAAGUUCUUGGUGUAGCGGUGAAAUGCGUAGAUAUCAAGAGGAACACCUGAGGUGAGGACGGGUUGCUGGGCUGACACUGACGCUGAGGCGCGAAAGCCAGGGGAGCAAACGGG
rnacentral:rRNA from 1 species